rnacentral:misc_RNA from 1 species
UCCCCAUUAACUGGGGCAGUUCCCUGUGACAUGUAUAACACAGGGUAAGGGUUGCGCUCGUUAACCGACUGAACGGGACACUUCACAGCACGAGCUGACGACAACCGUGCAGCACCUGUCAUCUGGCUCCUUUCGGCACUCCCGAGUUUCUCCGGGAUUCCAGAGAUGUCAAGCCUAGGUAAGGUUCUCCGCUUAGUAUCGAAUUAAACCACACGCUCCACCGCUUGUGCAGGUCCCCGUCAAUUCCUUUGAGUUUUAAGCUUGCGCUCGUACUCCCCAGGCGGCACACUUAACGCGUUAGCUUCGGUCCAAGGGAGGGUCGAUACUCCCCAAGGCCUAGUGUGCAUCGUUUACGGCGUGGACUAC